GUUAGGGGAAGAGAGGAGUCAAGAGUGAGAGUGACCGAGGAAGAAAAGGGAGUUCUUCCAAUCUUCACCACAUCCACAUGAUUCCUCAAGCCUCCAGCCACACCACUUCAUCGAGAUAAUCAAGCUAAGCAAGGAGAACAAGGGAUGGUAAAGAAAAGAAGCUGGCCAAAUCUUGGAGUGAAACUGACCAAGAAAGGAAGAGAGAGCCUAAACCAAAUUGGUGAUCAAAGAGUGGACUCCAUUGAGAUGGAGGAUCUCGACUUGUCUGCCACCACUGGAGUUAUAUUCAGAGAGGUAGCAGAGGAGCACGUGUUGUCGGACCCUACAAGAGAUGCCUGAGUUGAUGGUUGCAAACUUGUGCCUCGAUGGUAGAAGAAUGUACGAUAGAUGGUAUUCGUUCCUUAGACUUUGCUUCCCUCACUUUUGUAGCAUUUUUUAGGGAUAGGACUUGAUAUUUUCUUUUCUUUUAGUCCGGGUACCAGUUUAGGAGUUUUCUAUAUAAACCAGGUAUUCUGGAAAGUUAUUAGUUGUAUAUAAGUCUAUAUGUAUAUAUACAUAGAUAAGCGUGUCAAGUUUGUAUGAACU